rnacentral:rRNA from 1 species
UGGGGAAUAUUGGACAAUGGGCGAAAGCCUGAUCCAGCCAUGCCGCGUGUGUGAAGAAGGUCUUCGGAUUGUAAAGCACUUUAAGUUGGGAGGAAGGGCAGUAAGCGAAUACCUUGCUGUUUUGACGUUACCGACAGAAUAAGCACCGGCUAACUCUGUGCCAGCAGCCGCGGUAAUACAGAGGGUGCAAGCGGUAAUCGGAAUUACUGGGCGUAAAGCGCGCGUAGGUGGUUCGUUAAGUUGAAUGUGAAAGCCCCGGGCUCAACCUGGGAACUGCAUCCAAAACUGGCGAGCUAGAGUAGGGCAGAGGGUGGUGGAAUUUCCUGUGUAGCGGUGAAAUGCGUAGAUAUAGGAAGGAACACCAGUGGCGAAGGCGACCACCUGGGCUCAUACUGACACUGAGGUGCGAAGGCGUGGGGAGCAAACAGG